UGGACAAAACCCGACGACCCAGUAAAAACAAGUUAAACCGAACCGAAAUAUUGAUUCUGGGCGGGUUCAAAUGGAUCAAAUGGGUCACCGGGUUAUUAAUGCAGGUUUGACUGGGUUGAAUUGGGCGGAAGCGGGUGAAGAAAAAUUCACCGUAGGUACCUGAACCCGCCCGUAGAGACAAACAUAGCCAUAGUAUUAUUUUCUUUCUCCCAAACAAGCCUUUACAUAUUUUUCUCUUUUAGAUUCUCUCUCAGUUUAGAGACUCGCAAAACCUAGAGUCUCACAACCACCACCACCACUCUUCGUCAAAUUUGUAUUACCACCCUUUCCUCUUUCAGUUUCUCACUCUCACUGUUGUCAUCCUCUUGCCGUCGCCAUGACUCUCACACUCAACGCUGUCACUACCACCAAUGAACAAUAAUAAUAUUUAAUCUUGAAGAUAGAUAUGGUUUUUUGAAGACAAAUCUCUCCUUCAACCAUUCACACAAAGGUUUGCAGGUUGGUCCUUUGACACAUCUCUCAGGCAUUGAGAAAAAUUGAACUAUAUAACUACAAGUUAAGCUGCUCAGAAGGGGAAAGGAAAAAAAUACAAAAGAAAAUGGACCCCUGGUUGGUUCCUAUUAUUUGAGUCAUUAUCAUUCCAUAAUUCUGGAGUACUUUUUGUAUUCCAUUUCUUAAUAAUGUCUGCUAACAUUUGUUAUGGAUUCUACAAAAUACUUAUAUUUAUUUUGUAUUUAUGUGAAUUUUAUUUAUGUUGAAUUAAA